AGCGCUAUCGUCUAAUGGCAGGACAACACCGCGUUAUGGUUUACGAGUGAAUCAACGUCGGCGUAAAUGAUGGUUCGAUCCCAUCUGGCGCUA